rnacentral:rRNA from 1 species
UACGAAGGGGGCUAGCGUUGCUCGGAAUUACUGGGCGUAAAGCGCACGUAGGCGGUCUUUUAAGUCGGGGGUGAAAUCCUGGAGCUCAACUCCAGAACUGCCUUCGAUACUGGGAAGACUCGAGUCCGGGAGAGGUGAGUGGAACUGCGAGUGUAGAGGUGAAAUUCGUAGAUAUUCGCAAGAACACCAGUGGCGAAGGCGGCUCACUGGCCCCGGUACUGACGCUGAGGUGCGAAAGCGUGGGGAGCCAA